GGCUGACAGGCCUGUACUUCCUAAGAUCCUCCUCAUGGCCCUUCUUGUAGAUGGGAGUCACAUCGGCAAGCCUUCAGUCUUUUGGGAUCUCUCCAGAUAACCAGCAGAGCUAGUAGAUGGCAGAGAGUGGCUUGGCAAUCAUCCCCGCCAGCUCCCUCAGCACCCUAGGAUGGAGCCCGUCCGGUCCCUCGGACUUGUGACAGUCCAGAUGGAGGUGGAGCUCUCUAACUGUCUCCACCUGAAUCAUCAGGGGUGUAUUCUGCAUACCAUCCCAGACUUCCAGAACAGGGCAUAAAGUACCCUGAGGAUAACUGAGCCAUGGAGCAAUGCUGGGUGUGCUCUGGGAGAGCAGAUAGAAGAGAGGACAAAACUGCUUCACGACAGCAUCUGGGAGAGCAGCAGCCCUGCAGGCGCCCAGUUUUGGAUUUAUUGACAACAUCUAACCAAACCCACUGGGAGAGUCUUCAGAGAGUAUCCACAUCCUUGCCAUCUGUCUUCAGCAGCAUUGUGCCUCUGGGAAGCAAAGACUGGAUCUGCUUACUCUGUCCCAAACAACAACAGUAUCAGCUGAGAGGAUAAAGACAAGUUGCACACACUAAGAAGAUGUUAGCAUUUUAAUCUCACAGAUUAGUUUAGGCUCUUAAGAUCAUUUAAAAUGCAAUUGCACAGAGUACUGGCAGAACCGCUGAGGAGCAAUUGGUACAUCUGUACUUUUUUCUGUCUUAGGUUUAAGUGCCUAGCAUUGAAAUUGGUAGCUUGAAUACUUUUGAAUUCAGAAGCUAAGACAAUGUCACAGAUAAACUUUCUAUGCAAUAAAUGUCAGCUUCAUCAGUCUUCUUAGAAGUGAUAUGAUUAACUUCUGACAGCAUUUUGAGAACAUGUGCAGUUCUUUAUUUGGAUGUACGGUUGAAGCAGUGAUAAAUUCCUUUUCAAAAGCAAAUGAAGAACUAUAGGUAUGGUAGAUGCCAACUUCCUGCCUGGCAAUUGGCUUCUGAACAUUUGCGUUCUUGCCUUCCUGUGUGUUUCUUGAUUACUUCACUGAUCAGAUGCAUUUGCAGCUUCCACUUCUGCUGUCUGACCUGCACCUGUUGUAUGCAAAUACCACUGAAAUGUCUUCAGAGCAGAAAGAACAAAAAGCUGAAU
ensembl:lncRNA